rnacentral:lncRNA from 1 species
AUCCGGUUAGAUCCGGGUUAACUCCGUUGUUAGAAAAGCCUGAAGGAAACGCAAACGGUGGUGGCGGUUCUUCGACCAUGAAUCUGAUUGAGAAGAAGUUGAAGAGGAGAGCUAAAAGAGCGGUNNNNNNNNNNNGAGAGCUAAAAGAGCGGUUGCUAAGAUAUCAGAGAGGAGAGUUUCAAUGGUUGGUGGAGAAGCGUCGUCCAAUACGGAGAGGAGUCUUGAUGGGAUUGAUAUGAGAUGCAAAGUGGUUGACUUCGGUAACGCGUGUUG